GGUUAAGCGACUAAGCGUACACGGUGGAUGCCCUGGCAGUCAGAGGCGAUGAAGGACGUGCUAAUCUGCGAAAAGCGCCGGCGAGGUGAUAUGAACCCUUGACCCGGCGAUGUCCGAAUGGGGAAACCCAGUGUGUUCCGACACACUAUCGUUAACUGAAUACAUAGGUUAACGAGGCGAACCGGGGGAACUGAAACAUCUAAGUACCCCGAGGAAAAGAAAUCAACCGAGAUUCCCCCAGUAGCGGCGAGCGAACGGGGAGCAGCCCGGAGUCUGAAUCAGCUUGUGUGUUAGUGGAACGGUCUGGAAAGUCCGACGGUACAGGGUGAUAGUCCCGUACACGAAAAUGCACAUGCUGUGAACUCGAAGAGUAGGGCGGGACACGUGGUAUCCUGUCUGAAUAUGGGGGGACCAUCCUCCAAGGCUAAAUACUCCUGACUGACCGAUAGUGAACCAGUACCGUGAGGGAAAGGCGAAAAGAACCCCGGCGAGGGGAGUGAAAAAGAACCUGAAACCGUGUACGUACAAGCAGUGGGAGCACCUUCGGGUGUGACUGCGUACCUUUUGUAUAAUGGGUCAGCGACUUAUAUUCUGUAGCAAGGUUAACCGUAUAGGGGAGCCGAAGGGAAACCGAGUCUUAACUGGGCGUUAAGUUGCAGGGUAUAGACCCGAAACCCGGUGAUCUAGCCAUGGGCAGGUUGAAGGUUGGGUAACACUAACUGGAGGACCGAACCGACUAAUGUUGAAAAAUUAGCGGAUGACCUGUGGCUGGGGGUGAAAGGCCAAUCAAACCGGGAGAUAGCUGGUUCUCCCCGAAAGCUAUUUAGGUAGCGCCUCGUGAACUCAUCUUCGGGGGUAGAGCACUGUUUCGGCUAGGGGGCCAUCCCGGCUUACCAACCCGAUGCAAACUACGAAUACCGAAGAAUGUUAUCACGGGAGACACACGGCGGGUGCUAACGUCCGUCGUGAAGAGGGAAACAACCCAGACCGCCAGCUAAGGUCCCAAAGUCAUGGUUAAGUGGGAAACGAUGUGGGAAGGCACAGACAGCCAGGAUGUUGGCUUAGAAGCAGCCAUCAUUUAAAGAAAGCGUAAUAGCUCACUGGUCGAGUCGGCCUGCGCGGAAGAUGUAACGGGGCUAAACCAUGCACCGAAGCUGCGGCAGCGACGCUUAUGUGUUGUUGGGUAGGGGAGCGUUCUGUAAGCCGUUGAAGGUGUGCUGUGAGGCAUGCUGGAGGUAUCAGAAGUGCGAAUGCUGACAUAAGUAACGAUAAAGCGGGUGAAAAGCCCGCUCGCCGGAAGACCAAGGGUUCCUGUCCAACGUUAAUCGGGGCAGGGUGAGUCGACCCCUAAGGCGAGGCCGAAAGGCGUAGUCGAUGGGAAACAGGUUAAUAUUCCUGUACUUGGUGUUACUGCGAAGGGGGGACGGAGAAGGCUAUGUCAGCCGGGCGACGGUUGUCCCGGUUUAAGCAUGUAGGCGGAGGUUCCAGGUAAAUCCGGUACCUUAUUAACGCUGAGGUGUGAUGACGAGGCACUACGGUGCUGAAGUGAUAAAUGCCCUGCUUCCAGGAAAAGCCUCUAAGCAUCAGGUAACACGAAAUCGUACCCCAAACCGACACAGGUGGUCAGGUAGAGAAUACCAAGGCGCUUGAGAGAACUCGGGUGAAGGAACUAGGCAAAAUGGUGCCGUAACUUCGGGAGAAGGCACGCUGAUAUGUAGGUGAAGCCCCUGCGGGCGGAGCUGAAAUCAGUCGAAGAUACCAGCUGGCUGCAACUGUUUAUUAAAAACACAGCACUGUGCAAACACGAAAGUGGACGUAUACGGUGUGACGCCUGCCCGGUGCCGGAAGGUUAAUUGAUGGGGUUAGCGGCAACGCGAAGCUCUUGAUCGAAGCCCCGGUAAACGGCGGCCGUAACUAUAACGGUCCUAAGGUAGCGAAAUUCCUUGUCGGGUAAGUUCCGACCUGCACGAAUGGCGUAAUGAUGGCCAGGCUGUCUCCACCCGAGACUCAGUGAAAUUGAACUCGCUGUGAAGAUGCAGUGUACCCGCGGCAAGACGGAAAGACCCCGUGAACCUUUACUAUAGCUUGACACUGAACACUGGUCCUUGAUGUGUAGGAUAGGUGGGAGGCUUUGAAGCGUGGACGCCAGUCUGCGUGGAGCCGCCCUUGAAAUACCACCCUUUAAUGGCUGGUGUUCUAACGUAGACCCGUGAUCCGGGUUGCGGACAGUGUCUGGUGGGUAGUUUGACUGGGGCGGUCUCCUCCCAAAGAGUAACGGAGGAGCACGAAGGUUGGCUAAUCCUGGUCGGACAUCAGGAGGUUAGUGCAAUGGCAUAAGCCAGCUUGACUGCGAGCGUGACGGCGCGAGCAGGUGCGAAAGCAGGUCAUAGUGAUCCGGUGGUUCUGAAUGGAAGGGCCAUCGCUCAACGGAUAAAAGGUACUCCGGGGAUAACAGGCUGAUACCGCCCAAGAGUUCAUAUCGACGGCGGUGUUUGGCACCUCGAUGUCGGCUCAUCACAUCCUGGGGCUGAAGUAGGUCCCAAGGGUAUGGCUGUUCGCCAUUUAAAGUGGUACGCGAGCUGGGUUUAGAACGUCGUGAGACAGUUCGGUCCCUAUCUGCCGUGGGCGCUGGAGAAUUGAGGGGGGCUGCUCCUAGUACGAGAGGACCGGAGUGGACGCAUCACUGGUGUUCGGGUUGUCAUGCCAAUGGCACUGCCCGGUAGCUAAAUGCGGAAGAGAUAAGUGCUGAAAGCAUCUAAGCACGAAACUUGCCCCGAGAUGAGUUCUCCCUGAGACCUUGAGUCUCCUGAAGGAACGUUGAAGACGACGACGUUGAUAGGUCGGGUGUGUAAGCGCAGCGAUGCGUUGAGCUAACCGAUACUAAU
rnacentral:rRNA from 1 species